GAUGAACGCUGGCGGCACGCUUAACACAUGCAAGUCGAGCGGAGAUUGGAAGCUUGCUUCUAAUCUUAGCGGCGGACGGGUGAGUAACACGUGGGUAACCUACCUCAUACAGGGGGAUAACGUAUAGAAAUGUACGCUAAUACCGCAUAAGCCUACAGAAUGGCAUCAUUCAGUAGGAAAAACUCCGGUGGUAUGAGAUGGGCCCGCGACUGAUUAGCUAGUUGGGGAGGUAAUGGCUCACCAAGGCGACGAUCAGUAGCCGGCCUGAGAGGGUGAACGGCCACAUUGGGACUGAGACACGGCCCAAACUCCUACGGGAGGCAGCAGUGGGGAAUAUUGCACAAUGGGGGAAACCCUGAUGCAGCAACGCCGCGUGAGUGAAGAAGGUCUUCGGAUUGUAAACUCCUGUUGUUGGGGAAGAUAAUGACGGUACCCAANAAGGAAGUGACGGCUAACUACGUG
rnacentral:rRNA from 1 species